CUACGUGCCAGCAGCCGCGGUAAUACGUAGGUCCCGAGCGUUGUCCGGAUUUAUUGGGCGUAAAGCGAGCGCAGGCGGUUAGAUAAGUCUGAAGUUAAAGGCUGUGGCUUAACCAUAGUACGCUUUGGAAACUGUUUAACUUGAGUGCAAGAGGGGAGAGUGGAAUUCCAUGUGUAGCGGUGAAAUGCUUAGAUAUUAGGAAGAACACCGGUGGCGGAGGCGGCCUGCUGGACCAAAACUGACGCUGAGGCUCGAAAGCGUGGGUAGCAAACAGGAUUAGAUACCCUGGUAGUCCACGCUGUAAACGAUGAAUACUAGGUGCUGGGAGGCAUAAGCCUUUCGGUGCCGUCGCAAACGCAUUAAGUAUUCCACCUGGGGAGUACGUUCGCAAGAAUGAAACUCAAAGGAAUUGACGGGGACCCGCACAAGCGGUGGAGCAUGUGGUUUAAUUCGACGCAACGCGAAGAACCUUACCCGGUCUUGAGAUCC
rnacentral:rRNA from 1 species